AUACAUGCAAGUCGAGGGGCAGCGCGGGUAGCAAUACUUGGCGGCGACCGGCAAACGGGUGCGGAACACGUACGCAACCUUCCCAAAACUGGGGAAUAGCCCUCCGAAAGGAGGAUUAAUACCCCGUAACACAAUUAAGAGGCAUCUCUUGAUUGUUAUAGCUCAGGCGGUUUUGGAUGGGCGUGCGGCUGAUUAGGUAGUUGGCGGGGUAACGGCCCACCAAGCCAUCGAUCAGUAACUGGUGUGAGAGCACGACCAGUCACACGGGCACUGAGACACGGGCCCGACUCCUACGGGAGGCAGCAGUAAGGAAUAUUGGUCAAUGGACGCAAGUCUGAACCAGCCAUGCCGCGUGAAGGAUGAAGGCCCUCUGGGUUGUAAACUUCUUUUAUCUGGGACGAAAAAAGGGGAUUCUUCCUCACUUGACGGUACCAGAGGAAUAAGCACCGGCUAACUCCGUGCCAGCAGCCGCGGUAAUACGGAGGGUGCAAGCGUUAUCCGGAUUCACUGGGUUUAAAGGGUGCGUAGGUGGGCAGGUAAGUCAGUGGUGAAAUCUUCGAGCUUAACUCGGAAACUGCCAUUGAUACUAUCUGUCUUGAAUAUCCUGGAGGUGAGCGGAAUAUGUCAUGUAGCGGUGAAAUGCUUAGAUAUGACAUAGAACACCAAUUGCGAAGGCAGCUCACUACGGGAUGAUUGACGCUGAGGCACGAAAGC
rnacentral:rRNA from 1 species